rnacentral:rRNA from 1 species
GGUAACCAGGUCUUCGGAUGCUGACGAGUGGCGAACGGGUGCCUUUAUACAUCGGAACGUGCCUAGUAGUGGGGGAUAACUACUCGAAAGAGUAGCUAAUACCGCAUGAGAUCUACGGAUGAAAGCAGGGGACCUUCGGGCCUUGUGCUACUAGAGCGGCUGAUGGCAGAUUAGGUAGUUGGUGGGGUAAAGGCUUACCAAGCCUGCGAUCUGUAGCUGGUCUGAGAGGACGACCAGCCACACUGGGACUGAGACACGGCCCAGACUCCUACGGGAGGCAGCAGUGGGGAAUUUUGGACAAUGGGCGAAAGCCUGAUCCAGCAAUGCCGCGUGCAGGAUGAAGG